GGAUGAACGCUGACAGAAUGCUUAACACAUGCAAGUCGAUGGGGAAGUGGUGCUUGCACCAUGGUAACCAUGGCGGACGGGUGAGUAACGCGUAAGGAACUUACCUGCGGGACCGGGAUAACAGCAGGAAACUGCUGACAAGACCGGAUAAGGUCAUUAAGCUGCAUAGCUUAGUGAUGAAAGGAGACGCCUGCGGAGAGCCUUGCGUCCUAUUAGCUAGUUGGAGGGGUAACGGCCCACCAAGGCGAAGAUAGGUAGCCGGCCUGAGAGGGUGGACGGCCACAAGGGGACUGAGAUACGGCCCUUACUCCUACGGGAGGCAGCAGUGGGGAAUAUUGGACAAUGGGGGCAACCCUGAUCCAGCAAUUCUGUGUGCACGAAGACGGUUUUCGGAUUGUAAAGUGCUUUCAGCAGGGAAGAAGGAAGUGACGGUACCUGCAGAAGAAGCGACGGCUAAAUACGUG
rnacentral:rRNA from 1 species